GCACUACCACCGUUGCGGAUACAUCCCCGAUCCUAAUUUAUCUCAUAUUCAGUAUUAACUUGGCGUAUUGCAGUCUCAAUGGGGAUCACUGCUUCUGCAACAACCCUCAGGUUCUAUUGUCACUCUGGCUACAAGUACUCCUAUUGUCUUUCUCGCUAAGACUAGCCAUCCUACUUGGAUUCUGGAUUUCAGAGCCAAUGACCAUAUAACUGGUAAGUGAUCCAUGUUUUCGUCACCUAUUGUUUUCAUACAUCAAACCGUUUGUCUUACUGAUGAGUCUACUUCUACCAUCCAACAUAAGGUGAUGUGUGUCUAUCUCCUAAUAUUAGUCUCCCGUAUGUUCUUCAUGUACCCAAUUUUGCAUUUAAUCCUCUGUCCAAAGACUUUCAAUUGUAUUGUCAUUUUCUUAUCCGAUUGUUGUCUCUUGCAGGACCAGAUUUCGAAGAAGAUUUUUGGCAAGGGAUAUGAGCGCGAUGGACUGUAUUACUUUGGGGAUUCUCCUUGUGAGAAUGUACUGACAUCUAGUCUUCAAGCGUCUGCUUUGCCUAAUCUUUAGUCUUGCGUUUUUUUCUCUAAAACUUUGCAUUUGUGGCAUGCCC
rnacentral:lncRNA from 1 species